AUGUAUGUAUAUGUGUGUAUAUGUGUGUAUAUAUGUAUAUGUAUAUAUGUAUACAUACACACACAGACACACACAGAGUAUCUAGCACA
rnacentral:miRNA from 1 species